rnacentral:rRNA from 1 species
UACAGAGGUCUCAAGCGUUGUUCGGAUUCAUUGGGCGUAAAGGGUGCGUAGGCGGGCUGCCGCGUCCGGGGUGAAAUCCUCCCGCUCAACGGGAGAACGGCCUCGGAUACGGGCGGCCUGGAGGGGGGUAGGGGCAGGCGGAACGCUGGGUGGAGCGGUGAAAUGCGUUGAUAUCCAGCGGAACUCCGGUGGCGAAGGCGGCCUGCUGGAUCCUCACUGACGCUGAGGCGCGAAAGCCAGGGGAGCGAACGGG